rnacentral:tmRNA from 1 species
GGGCUUGUAUGGAUUUGACGGCAAGAUGAAAUCGUAUGUAAGCACGCGGAGCCUCGUUGGCUAGCUCCUUAAUCUGAGUGAACAAAAAUUUAAUUGGCGAAAACAACUACGCUCUCGCUGCCUAAUCGAAGUACAGUAGAUUACUGGCUUAAUCCUGCUACAAGGUAGCAGGACGAGACAUCGCUCCGAGGAUGUUGUUCCGAAUCCGGAGAUUCAGCGGUGCAGAUCAAAUCGGAAAUAGUCAUGUGCGGCUUCGCACACAUGAUGAAAUGCUUUAGAAGAUAAGAUGUCAGUUGGUGGCCCAGGUCUUGCUGACGUACGAAAAUGAAGGCUGGGAUAAGCGUGUAGAAAGCGUAUGGCUUCCUUGUUCGGACCGGGGUUCGACUCCCCGCAGGUCCACA